rnacentral:rRNA from 1 species
GAUGAACGCUGGCGGCGUGCUUAACACAUGCAAGUCGAACGGAAAGGCUCCUGCUUGCAGGGGUACUCGAGUGGCGAACGGGUGAGUAACACGUGGGUGAUCUGCCCUGCACUUCGGGAUAAGCCUGGGAAACUGAGUCUAAUACCGGAUAGGACCACAUUUUGGAUGGUGUGGUGGAAAGUUUUUCGGUGUGGGAUGAGCUCGCGGCCUAUCAGCUUGUUGGUGGGGUAAUGGCCUACCAAGGCGUCGACGGGUAGCCGGCCUGAGAGGGUGUACGGCCACAUUGGGACUGAGAUACGGCCCAGACUCCUACGGGAGGCAGCAGUGGGGAAUAUUGCACAAUGGGCGCAAGCCUGAUGCAGCGACGCCGCGUGGGGGAUGACGGCCUUCGGGUUGUAAACUCCUUUCGCUAGGGACGAAGCGCAAGUGACGGUACCUGGAGAAGAAGCACCGGCUAACUACGUG